AUGAUCAAUAUAGUAGCUGGUGAUUCACUUACCAUAGCAAAUGCAUUAUUCAAAUUUCUGGAAGAAAACAAAUUGUCCAUACUGAAUUGCAUCGGUCUUGCAACUGAUGGCUGUAACACAAUGUGUGGGCAACAUAAUUCAGUGCUACAGAAAUUCCGUGACCGCAAUCCUCAUAUUGUCUACAUAAAGUGUGUGUGCCAUUCUCUUCAGCUCUGUGCAUCAAAAGCCGUCAGUGUCCUCCCCAGAAAUGUUGAGUACAUGGUUUCUCAGACCUACAGUUGGUUUUCAAAUGCCACCCAGCGUCUCCAAAAAUAUUCUGAACUGUACAAAACCAUAAAUGUAGGUGAAAGCCCACUGAAGAUUCUGCAACUGUCUGACACUAGGUGGCUCGCUAUUAGUGAGUGCAUCAACCGGAUCCUUGCACAGUAUGUGGAGCUUAAGUUGCAUUUUCAGUUGACAAAAGACAGUGAGAGGAGCUAUGCUGCGGAACUGCUGUACCAAAUGUAUAGUGACAAUAUUAACCUGAUAUACCUGAAAUUCCUCCAACCAAUUGUGUCAGAGUUAAACAGACUUAAUAAAAUCUUUCAACUUGACAAACCUGAUCCUGCGUCAUACUCUAUGAUCCAGAGUCAUACUCUGUUGUCAAGUAAGCCAAGGAUUGAUGAUCUUCCCUUUUUCCACCUCUUCAAGGGAGAUGUAGGAAAAGCAGAGCAACAGUGGAGAGUAAUUCACUCUCUGGAAUGGAGCAAUGCAGAAGAUGGCAAAACAGAGGACUUCUGGGUAGAAGUUUCUGCAUACACAGAUACUGCAGGUGAUAGAAGCUUUGAAGAUCUUGGGAAUUUUGCAUUGAGUCUUCUUGCUCUACCAUUCAGCAAUGCCGCAGUUGAGCGUUCAUUUUCCCAAAUGUCACUGAUAAAGAACAAGCUACGAAACAGGCUAGAGCAGAAUUCUUUGCUAAAUAUAAUGAGGUUUCGAGCUUACAUGCAAAGAAGAAACAUAUGCUGCCAUGAAUUUAAACCAUCACCACGGAUGCUUUCUCUCUUUACUGCUGAAAUCUAUUCAGCACCACCUGAGAAGGGUGGGGAAGAGAGCACCAAUGUCUAA
ensembl:lncRNA